GACGAACGCUGGCGGCGUGCCUAAUACAUGCAAGUAGAACGCAGUUGCGAACGGGUGAGUAACGCGUAGGUAACUGCCUGGUAGCGGGGGGUAACUACUGGUAACGAUAGCUAAUACUGCCUACUUCCAGUUGCACCUGCGUUGUAUUAGCUAGUUGGUGGGGUAACGGGAAAUCAAGGCAACGCUACAUAGCCGACCUGAGAGGGUGAUCGGCCAAACGUGGACUUUGACACGGCCCAGACUCCUACGGGAGGCAGCAGUAGGGAAUCUUCGGAAAUGGACGGAAGGCUGACCGAGCAACGCCGCGUGAGUGAAGAAGGUUUUCGGAUCGUAAAGCUCUGUUGUAAGAGAAGCGGUAUCUUACCAGAAAGGGACGGCUAACUACGUGCCAGCAGCCGCGGUAAUAC
rnacentral:rRNA from 1 species